AUUGGGAAACCCCAUUUGUCUUCCUUCAUGAAGCAGGAGAGCGAGAGCGGAGUCUCAAAGGAAAGCCUCACUCUGCAGCAACGUGCACCCCUUCAAUCUCACAGCCGAAAAGGAGAUGAAGAAAAUGAGAGGAUUGACAGGAUUUGGCAAACUUGGAAGGACGGACAGCACAAGACGUUUAAUGGAGAAGAACCAGGAGGACGAGGUCAUACCGGACGGGCCCGAGCUGGCUCGCCCCAGCUGCGACACCUCGACCCAGAACCCUCAGAGCAACCACGAGGAAAGUGAGAGACGGAUCACAAGUGAGGAGGCGGCCGAACUUCUCUGCGUGGCCCCCGAUGCUUUGACCUCCGAGGCCGGACCCCCGCAGUCCGUCGUUGGCCUCAUAGAGGUGUUUCUGGAACAGCACUUCCCGAAGAUACCGGCCGACGUGGAGCAGACCUUAAGUCGCCACCUGCUGGAGGUGCAGGAGACGCUGCUCAGGGAGCUCGUGAGGUUGGCCCCCCGACUCCAUUCUGAGGGAUUGUUGGAAUGCUGCCACCAGCAGACAUUUAAACAUCUUGAUCAUCUACUUCGGAUCAUCCGCAUCCCCAGAGAAUUGUUAUUUCUGAUUAACUGGGUCCUACAUACAUAUCUGAGCCGGGACCUGCUUGGUCAUCCUGACCUUCAGUGCACAGAUCCCAUAAAAAAGGUCGACCUCCUGCUGUUAACACGGUGGACGUCCCAAGCGGAGGAAAUAUUGUUUGAAAUUCUGAUGACGGAUAUCGGCCGUUGCCUGGAGAAGAUCCUGCAGAUGGAAAUGAACCACGAUGAUCUUUACGUGGACGCGAUUCAGUGCAUUGACGCCGUGCCCCAAAAUGUCCUCAAAAUCAGCCCACAACUGUCUGAUAAGCUGCAGGAGGGUUGCAUGCGAGAGCUGCUGCGGUUUCUGAAAAAGUUCACGGCGGCGCAGAAGGACCUUCUGAGAAAGAAAGCAAAAAUGGACGAACCAGAAACAAAAGAUUUUUUCAGGAAUUUGAAGAACUGUAAAGGACUCAAGCAGUACAUCCAGGAAAAAGACAAAGAGAAAAAAUACCCUCUCAUGGAAAUCAUUGAAGACAUGGAGGCUUUUACUUUGAAACUCCUGAGGGAAAUCUUCGCUGACAUCGCAGAGAGCCGCCUGAAGAAAUACUUCAAAUCACAGAACAAGGAAUUCUCCCUCUUGCUCGAUGACGUAAGAAGCCUCCUCUCAGGUCUGUCCGACUACGAGGACGUUCAGAUGAGAGUGAUGGACGAGGCCUACAAGCUCCUCGCUCACGUUUACCUCAAACGCCUCGUCGGAACGCGCCUGAGCCGCCUGAGGAGGCGCUGGCAGCCCGACGUGGGACGAAGGGUCACCGAGGACGCCGAGCUGCUUCACCACUUCCUCGCGGAUCUGGUUCGCGGGGUCGCUGGCUGGAACGCCAUGCUGCUGAAAGUCGAAGAUCUGUUGAGCGUCGAGAGUCUUGAUGUGAUGAAAGUGACAGCGGCGGAGAUGCAGAAGGAGUGUCACCCGGGGAGCGGUGACCUGCAGCUCCUGCCCGCGCUGCUGCAGUGGCGAGGUCUCUCCGGAUCCCAGAUCAGGGACGUGCAAUAUGCCAUGAUGGACCUACCCGGCUUUCAACUCCCACCCACGCCUGCUUCCUGCUUCUCCUGCUUCACCUGGUGGCGAAGCUGCUGCACGCCGGAAUCCACGGUUGUCAGCGAGGAGGACGGCUCUCAGAUCUGAUGCAAGGGAGUUGGAAUAAGCUUCAAGUGUACGUUAUGUCACUGGUGUCGCUUCCUUUCAGGUGUCGUUGUCGUAUAAGGAAAUAUACAUAUUUGUCGGGACAUUUGCACAUCGUUGACAGUACCGUUAUGUUUUGUGCAUCAACUUGUUGUAGAUCGGUCAACCUGUGCGCCUCCCGUCUCAUUCUUACUGUAUUUAUGCACAAGGCUAAAGUGCAACAGAAAGGCCGUGACUUGCGUGGAAUGUGGACGCAGGUUUCCGAAGCGAAGCUCAGCGACAGCGGGUUGGGGCCUCGUGACGUUGAGCUAAGAGGGAAGAGGAAUAACAAGAGUUUGAGUUUGAACACGGUGCCUGAUUGCUCGCUUGUGAAAAAAACCAGAAACCAUUAGCAGAUGUGUGACUUCCAGAGAAAGCUGCUCUCUUUGCUCGUUACUGCUCAUCAGGCUUUGUUGGCCUGCUGGCCAGAGUGAGUCGCCUGGAGGCCGUGGACAGUGAAGAUUAUGCGUCUUUUUGCCGCAGAGCCAAAGCUCUGAUAAUCCAAAACACAAGAACAAAGAAUUCAGAGGCACUAAAGGGAAAAAGUUCACUUGACUUUUACAAAAAGGACUCUUUUGUUUCAAACCCUUUAAGGACCAUUUGUUGUUUCCUUUGUGUGCUGAGAGUUUUGAGCUGCACUGAUACUAAGCUCUGUCUCUUCAUUAUGAUGAAACGUUGCACAUUUCCAAACUUCACUGUAAAGAUUCUUCUCAGUAUUUAUUUCAGUUUGUAUUUAUUGGUUUUAAUUCCCUCUUCAUUCCCGGUACAAAGUCAUAUUUUCUGCUUUAAUUUAACAGUGAAUUCCUUUUAACUUUAUUAAUGUUGUACAUUGUGUUACUUUGUGGUGGUUCGUGUAGUUAAUAAGUUGCAAAUAAGGUUAAAGGGGCAAAACAAACAAAAACGCUUUUCUUUUUCUGUCAGUAAAGAAAUGAAUAAAACGAUUCCCCGGAAAGGAAGACUUUGCCUGCGUGUUCAUUGAACGUCACCAGAGGGAGACAAACAUCGAACAGAAAACAGAUCCCAGAACAGCUUCUCCAUCCAGGGCGCGUGCCCCCAGAAUGCAGCUGUGGCUAAAUAAAUCACUUAGAAAGUUU
ensembl:lncRNA